AAAUCAGGUAGGACUACCCGCUGAACUUAAGCAUAUCAAUAAGCGGAGGAAAAGAAACUAACAAGGAUUCCCCUAGUAACUGCGAGUGAAGCGGGAAAAGCUCAAAUUUAAAAUCUGGCGGUCUUUGGCCGUCCGAGUUGUAGUCUGGAGAAGCGUCUUCCGCGCUGGACCGUGUACAAGUCUCUUGGAACAGAGCGUCAUAGAGGGUGAGAAUCCCGUCUUUGACACGGACUACCAGUGCUUUGUGAUGCGCUCUCAAAGAGUCGAGUUGUUUGGGAAUGCAGCUCAAAAUGGGUGGUAAAUUCCAUCUAAAGCUAAAUAUUGGCGAGAGACCGAUAGCGAACAAGUACCGUGAGGGAAAGAUGAAAAGCACUUUGGAAAGAGAGUUAAACAGUACGUGAAAUUGCUGAAAGGGAAACGAUUGAAGUCAGUCGCGUCGUCCAGAACUCAACCUGGCUUUUGCUUGGUGCACUUUCUGGUUGACGGGCCAGCAUCAGUUUCGGUCGUCGGAGAAAGGCCUUUGGAAUGUGGCACCUUCGGGUGUGUUAUAGCCUUGGGUCAUAUACGACGGUUGGGACUGAGGACCGCAGCACGCCUUUUGGCCGGGGUUCGCCCACGUACGUGCUUAGGA
rnacentral:rRNA from 1 species